UUACAGAGUUGAAAAACUCCAACCCCUGUGAACAUACCUUUACUGUUGCUUCGGCGGACGAUGGUCCCCCCCGGGGGGCCGGACGCCGCCGGAGGUUACAAACCCUGAAUUUUAGUGUAUCUCUGAGUACAAAACCAAAUAAUUAAAACUUUCAACAACGGAUCUCUUGGUUCUGGCAUCGAUGAAGAACGCAGCGAAAUGCGAUAAGUAAUGUGAAUUGCAGAAUUCAGUGAAUCAUCGAAUCUUUGAACGCACAUUGCGCCCGCCGGUAUUCCGGCGGGCAUGCCUGUCCGAGCGUCAUUUCACCACUCAAGCCCAGCUUGGUGUUGGGGCACCCGGCCGCCCGGCGGUCGGGGCCCCCAAGAACAUCGGCGGUCUCGCUAGGACCCUGAACGCAGUAACUCGCGGUAAAACGCGCUUCGUUCGGUGGCUUCCCGGCGGGCUCCAGCCGCUAAACCCCCUAAACUUUUUAGGUUGACCUCGGAUCAGGUAGGAAUACCCGCUGAACUUAAGCAUAUCAAUAAGCGGAGGAAAAGAAACCAACAGGGAUUGCCCUAGUAACGGCGAGUGAAGCGGCAACAGCUCAAAUUUGAAAUCUGGCCCCAGGCCCGAGUUGUAA
rnacentral:rRNA from 1 species